rnacentral:rRNA from 1 species
UACGUAGGUGUCAAGCGUUGUCCGGAUUUAUUGGGCGUAAAGCGCCCGCAGGCGGCUUGCCAAGUUCGAUGUGAAAUCUCCCGGCUCAACUGGGAGGGUGCAUCGAAAACUGGCAGGCUUGAGGCAGGGAGAGGGAUGUGGAAUUCCCGGUGUAGCGGUGAAAUGCGUAGAUAUCUGGAGGAACACCGGUGGCGAAGGCGACAUCCUGGACCGGUAUUGACGCUGAGGCGCGAAAGCCAGGGGAGCAAACGGG